rnacentral:rRNA from 1 species
AACGAACGCUGGCGGCAUGCCUAACACAUGCAAGUCGAACGAGACCUUCGGGUCUAGUGGCGCACGGGUGCGUAACGCGUGGGAACCUGCCCUUAGGUUCGGAAUAACUCCCCGAAAGGGGUGCUAAUACCGGAUAAUGUCUUCGGACCAAAGAUUUAUCGCCUUUGGAUGGGCCCGCGUUGGAUUAGCUAGUUGGUAGGGUAAAAGCCUACCAAGGCGACGAUCCAUAGCUGGUCUGAGAGGAUGAUCAGCCACACUGGGACUGAGACACAGCCCAGACUCCUACGGGAGGCAGCAGUGGGGAAUAUUGGACAAUGGGCUAAAGCCUGAUCCAGCAAUGCCGCGUGAGUGAUGAAGGCCUUAGGGUUGUAAAGCUCUUUUACCCGGGAUGAUAAUGACAGUACCGGGAGAAUAAGCUCCGGCUAACUCCGUG